GACGAACGCUGGCGGCGUGCCUAAUACAUGCAAGUCGAACGCUGAAGGAGGAGCUUGCUUCUCUGGAUGAGUUGCGAACGGGUGAGUAACGCGUAGGUAACCUGCCUGGUAGCGGGGGAUAACUAUUGGAAACGAUAGCUAAUACCGCAUAAGAGUAGAUGUUGCAUGACAUUUGCUUAAAAGGUGCAAUUGCAUCACUACCAGAUGGACCUGCGUUGUAUUAGCUAGUUGGUGAGGUAACGGCUCACCAAGGCAACGAUACAUAGCCGACCUGAGAGGGUGAUCGGCCACACUGGGAGUGAGACCAGGCCCAGACUCCCUCGGGAGGGAGCAGGAGGGAAACUUCGGCAAUGGACGGAAGGCUGACCGAGCAACGCCGCGGGAGGGAAGAAGGUUGUCGGAUCGGAAAGCUCGGUUGUAAGAGAAGAACGAGUGUGAGAGUGGAAAGUUCACACUGUGACGGUAUCUUAUCAGAAAGGGACGGCUAACUACGUG
rnacentral:rRNA from 1 species